AAGUCGUAACAAGGUAACCGUAGGUGAACCUGCGGUUGGAUCAUUAGUGGUUUUUACGUAGCGCUGUUGUAGUGUUUCUGUGGUGUUUGGUCUUUGGUUUUGGGUGUUGUCUUUCUUUCUUUGUCUGUUUUUGUGUGAUGCCUUGUGCUGCCUUGUGCAUUGCCUUGUGCGGUGCCUUGUGCGGUGCCUGGCAGAACAAACGAUCGACGGCAACACUCGGACCAGACCCAAGCCCUUGCAGACAAUAGACGUCUUUGCUUGCUUUGAUGAAACCAAAUCAAAAACAACUUUUGACAACGGAUCUCUUGGCUCUC
rnacentral:misc_RNA from 1 species